GGAGUGGCUGGGAGUUUCCGAGUUGAAUACAGGGAGCCAGCGGAGGUGAGUGUGGGGGACGCAGGACAGUCUGCUGUGUGCCUGGGGGACUAUGGGGUGGGUGCGGGGACCCAGCGGGGUCUGCAGGGCCCUGAGAUAGGCGCCGCGGACGCGGGCUGAGGUCUUAAGGAGUGUAUCGGAGACCCUGGGGUGAGUGUGGGGUACGCAGGCCGGGGUCUGCGGGGCCCUGGGAUGAGUGCUGGGGACGCGGCCGGGGUCUUACCGGCUGGAUGCGAUGCACGCAGGCGGGGCACCGUGGGCGCACCGUGCCAGAACCGCUGUUGUGCCACAGGCUUCCUUCCGCUUACUUCUCGCCCUAGGCGGCUAAGUGGGGGCUGUGAGCCGCACCUACCCCCUCACUCCCCAUCGGCCGGUUUGCCGAGUUCCUCCCCCAGGGCGUUCCAGCUCAGACAUGCUGCUCAGGUGGAGCCACCGUUAUUAAGCACGUGCAGGAGAGCCCGGGCAACCCACGCGUUGGGCAGGCCCGGCGGGCCUGUAUAGAUGCAGAUGCAGGUGUAACUUCCCUUUGGAGCAGCUCUCGGCACCAUCCCAAAAAAAGGACGGGCGUCUUCUCAACGCCUGGACAGUGGGCCUGGGAGACUUAAUCCUGCGUGUGUUCCUCCAGGGAGAAAUACACCUCUGUGGGGCCAGUUCCCAUCGCCUAUCUGAAAGCUUGCUUGGAGAUCUCAGGACAGAGGUUGAAGUCUAAGUCAGCCUUAAAUACAGUAUGCUCCCAAAGCGAAGGUGGAGUAAAGUCUUUGGAACUGCCUGCUGGGCGGCCCUCUAAAGGGGUGAUCUCCCCUCAAGGAGACUUGAGGAUUCCAACAGCUUAGGUGGAAUCAGCAGGACUGAGGACCCUCUGGCCUGGUGGGACUGCCUACCCUUCCCAGGCCUGGUAGCGAUGAAUGUGCCCUGCUAAUUGCAAUCGCUAAUUCUUUUCUUUCAGAGGGGACUUUGGUGGAUUUUUAUAAUUCCCGAUAUUACAGUUUUCUGUGCUGGACAAGGUAAGAAACAGUAUUUCUUGAGGUGUUUUAAGCCUGUGGUUUGGGCCUGCAGCAGUGGUAGCCGGAGGACUUGUAGUCCCAGAACACUGGACCUAGUCAUCCGACCUGGGGGAAAUGCAACAAUUUUUUUCUUUGUUUACUAGCAGCUGUUCUGAAAAUAUAAUGAACUUUCCUGGUUAGCCUUCAAGUAGCUGGUUUAAAACACAAAGUGAUAUGUGGUGCUUGAUUUUGUUUUGAUCUUACAAGCGCCAGCCUUCCUGGAUGCUGGGGGUAUAGGACUGGGACUCCACAUCUCCCAGGGCAGGUGCUAGAGGCUGGUCAGAGGCAAAGGAGGGGGGACCAGGACUGGGGGGUGUUUGUGCUAGGACCUUCUCCUGAAGGCAGCUGGGUCCUCAGUCCUCCACCUUUGAUCCUUCUGGCUGGCCAGGGCUGUUCUUCAGCUGCCUGGAAGAGGCCUGAAGUUGUACAGGGCUGGGCUGGAGUCAGCACACUUGGGGUGGGCUUCCCCUGAGUUUCCAGGCUCCGUUUCCUGUGCACAUGUGACGUUGUUCCCCAUCUUUUCCUCUGUAAGUCUAGUGGCAACCAGAGGACUUUGAGUCUCAGCUGUACUGACCAGUCGUCAUGUGACCAUAUUCACUGAUGGUUUACAUCAAAUCAGCAGAGCAGACAGACUUCAGACGGGACCCCUUGACUGGCUGAGGUCAUGGCUAUCUUUGAUCUUCAGCCUCCUCACAGGUGGUGGCCAGGCAGGCCUGCUUGCUUUUCCUCCUGCAGAAUACAGAGUACACAGGGUUGGAGGCCCCCUGCUCUGCAUAGGGAUUGCAGACUGCUGUGCUAGUCAACAUUUUUUCCAUUAGUGGCCAACAUUAAACUGGCUUUUCCCAUAAGACCCUGGAAUUUUGUCCCCUAUUCCUGCUGAGGGCCAUUGUUCCUGGGACGGUGAGUUCUUAUCUCGCCUCCCCUGCUCACCUGCUAUUGUCUGGCCCUGUAGGCUCUGAAUUGGCAGCCCCAGAUCUCUUUGAGGUAUUACCAGUGUGUAUCCCAUUGUGCUGUGAGAGUGUGGGCACACACAGAGUACAGCACAUUCCAGAGUGGAGACAGGCCUCCUGUCCCCAGGCGGUCUGCUUAGUUCAGAUCCAGACUCCACAGGAUAGCACUGAAAGUGAGCCCCUCCCAAGCUUCUUGCCCCUAUGUGGCCCUGGUACCCUGCAGGUGUGACUGUUAUCAGGAAGGACUGUAGGACUGUGUCCCCACCUGGGGGGGGGGCAGGGCCUUGUACAGAUGAGAGGACAAGUUUUUAGAGUAACACUCUGGAGGAAUAUGGAUAGCAGAGCUUCUGGCACCAUCUUUGCUUCUCCCAUGGUUGCUAUAUCUGCCUCCCCCCGCACUGGGACAUGAGAAUAAAGGGCCUCUUGGGACAGGAAGGCUGCCUUUGUCUUGAGUGAGUGUCUCUUGGCUUAUGUCCUAGGAAAGCAUGUCCCUCAUCUCCUUCACUGAGCAGGGAAGGAGCUCAAGUUCUCUUCACAUGGACCCGGUGGUCCCCUGGGCCUGUGACUGCUAAACAUUCCUGUAGGGACCCUGGGUGUCUUUGCUGAGCAAGUGUGUGUGGUAUAGAGUGGAGGGUGGAGGGCACUGCCCAGCAGGGUCCCAGAGGGGGGAGGAUGCCCCAUGGGUUCAGUGUCUGCUUUCUGGAGAUAAGCCUGGUUACUCAGCUACUUAGCGACUGCAUGAUCCAAGAACAAAGGGAACCUAGGGCACUGCUGGCUUCCUGAGCCUCCACCUGGUCAGUUGCUGCUCAGCUUCCCCAAGUGGUGGCGGUGGUGGGAUGGCUGUGAGGUUGGAAGCUUGGUGGGGGGCCCCGGGCUGGCCGGGUGGGGGAAGGAGGCUUUCUCUGGCGGUAGGUCUAGGGACCCUAUCAAACAGGCCUGACCUGGUUGGCCUGGCCCCUCUGCUGUCCAGGCUGACUGCAGUGUUUUGGGGGCUCCCUGACCAACAUCUGGGGAGCGAGGCUCCUCCUUUGUGUCAUAACCCUGGAGAACAAGCUGGGCUGUUCACUCCCUGGGCCCUUUAGCACUUGGCCUGUGGGAGUUGCCGGGGAGUGCUGGGGCCCAUCUGAGUAUGGGCAAAGGUGGGCUGCUGUGCUGGCUCUGGUCAGACUGGCUGUUCUUGUGGAGCUCAGCACUGGAUCCUGAGAGUGCUUUUCCAUGUGUGGUGGGUCACCUGCUCUGGCUUAUCUGGUGGACAAAUUAAAGGGCAGAGUCCUGGUGGGUCUGCCCCAUGCCUGCAGACACAGGGCAGGUUCCUAAGGAGCUCUCCUUGAUGUUUGAGAGACUCCACUCUGGGGUUUUGGCAGCUUUGGGAGUGAGUGAGGAUGUAGAAAUGAGUGCUACGUGCUGGGGCUGAGAACUGCCAGUGACAAGUAAAGGGCAUUCCUGCUGCCUCUGGGGGUGGCGCCUUGUGCACCUGUACAGCCGUGGCCACAGUGAUUUAGUUGGGGUGAGGAACAGCUGUUCUGGGUAUCCAGGACUGGGAGAGUGGACCUGAGAUGGGUCUCCUGGGGGUGUGUGUGAGGUGUAGUUCAGCUCUGCAUGUGGCCCUCUGGGUGUCAAGGUGACUGUUGAAGAGGCUGAGCCCUCCUGGCUCUAAGCUCCUCCCUGCUGCCCCAGCUCCUGGGGAGAGGGGGUCCAGAGCCCUGGGGGUCUAUCCUGGCUGAGGCAGGAGCCCCUGCCUGUAGCUGUUUUCCUCUUGGCCUUAUGAAGACUUCAGAGUCACUGCUGCCCUUUGUGCUGGGCACAGUCCCAUCAUCUACCCUUGGAACUCUCUGGAAUUCUUAUGGCUGGGAUCCCAGAGGCCAGCUCUAUAUAGGGGGAGAGACCAUCCUCCCUUUCCUGUAGCCCCACAAGCCCAUGGGACCCUGCUUCUUUUGGGUGUCACUGUUUGUACCCUGCCCACUGCCCCUUGUCACAGAAGUGAGUGCGGAGGGAUUUGGAAGCCGGAUCCCGUGACUACUGCCUGUGCCCAGGGGUCUGCCUGUGUAGCUGGGAAGAGGCUCUCUGCACCCCAUGUGGAUCCCUGCUGGCCACCUUGCUUGUAAGACUGUGUCAGUGGUGGGUUUCAGGAGCACUUUCAGCCUGUGUGGAGUUCAAGCCCACAGGGCUUAGUGCUGGAAUUUGGGGUGACUGUCCCUGGGGACUCCUGGAUCCCCAUGCUGGUCCCACGUUUAGGGAGCUCUCUGUGCCCCCUGCUUGAGGGUAGGAGGGGAUUCUCCCUAUACAGACACCUGGCCACGUAUCAGUCCAGGGCAGAGGGAAUGAUGAUCACAGCUUAGCCAGCCCCACCCGCCUCCACUAGCUAUUCAGGCUGCCCUCUGUACCUCACAUGCCCUUCCACAUGGACCCUGUCAGGCCUGGCCUGGGAGUGAUGGUCAGCGUGACAAAGGCCAGUGGGGCAGGUCAGCUUGGCGUGGUGCCUCGUGCACCUGACCUCCUUGGUGGCCGCUUGCUUUCUGAUUGCCUGGAACACCUCAAGUGGACCAGCAGCGUCACUGGCCUGUGGAGACAGACGUGUGUGUACAGCAAGCUGCAGGUGACCUCGGUGUGGAUGCGGGCUUCUGCCCCACUGCUGCUCCUUUGCUGGGAAGGGCCAUUAGUGGUCCUGGCUGUGCUCUUGGGGGCAACAGAGGCUUUCUCCCUGGCAGAAUCAGGAUGGUGGAAGGGGCUGCAGAAGAGGUUCUCCACACCCAGGCUGCUGCUGUGUCAUGCAACGUGCCCUGGCCUGGGUGGGGUGGGGUCAGCCUCAGGGACACCGGCUGGUCACCCCGAGGUCUGGCUCAUGAUGCCUCCUGAAGGCAGGCCUGUUAUCUGAGGUGCUCUGUCAGGAAUGUGUCACAUCUGCCUCACUGCUUCCACCGCUGCUGUUUCUCUUUAGGGGAACUUGCUCCUGGGGACUCCAGGACCCUAGGCUCAAAGUCUGGGUCAUCAUCUUCUCGGUUGUUUCUCUUCCCAGCUGCCCUCAGCCCCUAAUCCCCACGGUGGGCUUCCCCUGCACGGCAGGGAGCUGAGUCUCCUGCUUCUGUGCAGGACUGGAUACCAGAGUCUCAUGGGACCUCACUCCCCAGUGGGUCUCUGACUGGUAGCUUAUGUCCAGCCACCUGUCGCUGGUUGCUGGCCCCAGGGUGUGGCCAAGUGUGUGCCUGACCUCCCAGAAAGACCUGUUCCUGCCUGUGCCCUCCUAGGCCACCGCAGUGCCACAGAGAAGCAGUACAAUGUGGGCCGCACAGGGCUGUGCGGAGAGGACUGUGUCCAGCCCCACAGACGUAGCUCAUGCUUCUGUGCGAUGAGGUGGAGCAUCACCUUCAUUCCCUCUAGUGUCUCAAAUGGGCCGGGGCAGCAUGAUGCCUUCCAGCCCUGAGGGAGAGAAGCAGGUGCCCACAGAGCCUAAGCUGGACUGUGAGCCCCAGCCAUGGCGGUGCCUGGUGUUCUACCUGUGCUUCUAUGGCUUCAUGGCGCAGAUGCGGCCCGGGGAGAGCUUCAUCACACCCUACCUGCUGAGGGACAAGAACUUCACACAGGAGCAGGUCACCAACGAGAUCACACCGGUGCUGUCCUACUCGUACAUGCUGGUGCUGGUGCCCAUCUUCCUGCUGACCGACUACCUGCGCUACAAGCCAGUGCUGCUGCUGCAGGGUCUCAGCUACACGUCCGUGUGGCUGCUGCUGCUGUUCGGUGGCUCUGUGCAGCACAUGCAGCUCAUGGAGUUCUUCUACAGCGUCACCAUGGCCGCACGGGUCGCCUACUCCUCCUACAUCUUCUCUCUCGUGCACCCUGCGCGCUACCAGCGCAUGGCUGGCUACUCACGCGCUGCCGUGCUGCUGGGCGUCUUCACCAGCUCAGUGCUGGGCCAGCUGCUGGUCUCCACGGGCAGGGUCUCCUUCAGGACCCUCAACUACAUCUCGUUGGCCUUCCUCAUCUUCAGCCUGCUGCUCGCCUCCUUCCUCAAGCGCCCCAAGCGGAGCCUCUUCUUCAACCGCAGCAGCACUCCCCUGCGUGGGGCUGUGCCCUCAGAGCUACAGCCUGUGCGGCCCGGCCCCGCCCCGCGCGGGAAGCUGCUGGCCGCUUGCAGGGACUGCAUCCUGGUGCGCAUGCUGCAUGAGCUGGGGGCCAGCCUGCGGCUGCCACAGCUGCGCCUCUGGUCACUCUGGUGGGUCCUCAACUCAGCCGGCUACUACCUGGUUGUCUACUAUGUGCACAUCCUGUGGAACACCCUGUGCCCCACCACCGACAGUGCUCAGGUCUACAACGGUGCCGCCGAUGCUGCCUCCACGCUGCUGGGUGCCAUGACAUCUUUCGCUGCUGGCUUCGUAAAGAUCCGCUGGGCGCUGUGGUCCAAGCUGGUCAUUGCCUGUGUCACCGCGGCUCAGGCCGGCCUCAUCUUCCUGCUGUACAAUGUGGUCAGCAUCUGGCCCUGCUAUGGGGCCUUCGUGCUCUUCCGUGGCUUCUACCAGUUCCUUGUGCCCAUUGCCACUUUUCAGAUUGCAUCCUCCCUGUCAAAAGAGCUCUGUGCCCUGGUUUUUGGCAUCAACACAUUCUUCGCCACCAUUCUCAAGACCAUCAUCACCCUCAUCGUCUCAGACAAGAGGGGCCUGGGCCUUCCAGUCUGGUCACAGUUCCGGAUCUACUUUGUGUACUUCCUGGUCCUGUCCAUCUUCUACUUCUUGGGGGCCAUGCUCGAUGGUUGGCGGCACUUUCAGCGAAGCCACCACCGGCCCCUGCCACUGGCCCAAGAACUGAGGAGCCCCUUGGAGGAGAAGGCUGAGCAGACGCCUAGCAUGCAGGACACGUGCCCUCCACUGUACCCAGAGGGCAGCGCCUGGGGCCUUGGGCUGGCCUCCCAGGAGCAGAGCCAGCCUGCCCCAGCUCCACCUGCACUCCUACCCCAGCCCAGCCGUCACCUGGAUUCCUGACAUCUGAGGAAGUCCUUUGCUACGUGCUCCCUGUGCUAAUCAAGCCUGACUUCACAGACGUGUUUAGAAUGUGAACUAGUGACUCAUGGAGCCCCUGUGCCUUUGUGGGUGACCCUCUGUGUCCCCCUAACCUACGCCUUGUCAGUGAGGGGCCCUGGCCUCAGCUUGCCCUGCUGGUGACCCUGAGAGCCCCUUCCCCAGCCCUGCUUCACACCCCAGUGGAGGCUGGGGCCUGUUGGGGACCUUCUGAGCAGCUGCCUGGCUGUGCUGCCCCCACUGGGCCUCUAUUGCCAAGCGGAGGCUGAUAAGGGAUCUCUGGGGUACACCAGGCUUUCCUGCAUUCACCCCCAGGGAUGAAGCAAACCCUUCUGUCCAUGGGGACUGAUGAGGUGGUCCUUGGUGCCAGCCAAGGGGAUACCAGCUCCACAAGUCAUGGACCCUCAGGACAGGGCUGGGAGCCUGAAUUCCCCAGGCCUGUGGAUCAACUGUGACAUAGCUCCAGAUACAUUAAACAGACCUCGAGAACGGAAUGUGACACAGCUCUUAAUUCCAGACCAGCCUGACCUGUUGGGUGGAGGCCACCAUCAGUGAGGAGGCCUGGAAGGGGCCCAGCCAUCCCCCUUGCCCUCCUCAUCAAGGACCUAUACCAAGGCCCUGGUGCCUGUGAGCCAAACAUCCUCUCUCUCUACCCUGUCCCUUGGGGCCCUCUGGUAAGCGUCCACACUUAGUGUGUCCCAAUGGACAGCAGCUGCUCAGAGCCAGCCUGCUGAAAAAAGCUAGGGAUGGAAUUUCUGGCUCAGAGGCAGCUGGAGCUGCCAGUGCCCAAGAAUCCCCCAGGUCGGCUUGGUGAGAAGGCUUCUAGGGCACCCUGGGUUGAGAGUCCAGGGGAAAGACAACCUAAGUCCAGAUGGGCAGUGGUCCUGAGGUCUAGUCCCACCAGGGCACAAUCAGUAGAGCUGGGGCCCAAGGGUGCAGGAAUGAGUAUAGCCACCACCUUGCCUCAUGCUGACCACCACACACCGUGAGCCCUAUGGCCGAUCCCACAGCACAGUCCUGGCAACCUCACCCAGGCCAGUCCCUCUUGUCAGAAUCUAGUCCUGCCCCAGGGUCUGCAUCCACCCCACCCCUCACCCCACACUGGCUUUGAUGACUGUUCCUGCCACUCCCAAGGGAUAGGCUAGGUCCUGCCGGUAGGGCACCCUCAGCCUUGGGGCAGAGCCUGCAGAGCCUGGAGGGUGCAAGUGGCUGCAGAGAGGACCAAGUAUGAGGGUCUCAAGAUAAGGGUCUAUGAAGACUGAUGGCUGUGGGGAGAUCUCUGAAGAAUGUUCAUAAACAGCUGUGUACACAUAUGCACACCUGUGCCCCCUUAUCAGGGUCUGCCAGCUGGGUAGUCCAGGGACAGCAGCUCUCUAGGACUUGCUGUGGAUAAUUUGCCCUUCUGAGAUAGUGAUAGCCAUUAGUAAACCACAUGUCAGUGUAAAGGUCAUUUUUAUUUGGUACCUGUUUGAACUGGCACUUCACAUGUCACAUGCCAUGAUCAGCCGGGUGCUGCCCUGAGCACACAUGCUCCUCCACAGAAUAGCACCACUGUGGCCACUCAGCC